rnacentral:siRNA from 1 species
GCAGGUGAUUGAAUGAGCGCAAGA